ensembl:lncRNA
UGGAAAAGCAGGGGGGACGAGUUCCAUCUGAGGGUGCCCAGAGCUACUUCCCAAUUUUUUUUCUAUCCCAUUAGGUUGGAAGGUACUAAACAUUGGACUGUUAAGAUUAGACAUUUGAAUUCUGUUGACCCGCACUUUAAAGCUUUUGUUUGCAUUUAAAUUAAAUGGCUUCUAAACAAGAAAUUGCAGCAUAUUCUUCUCUUUGGCCCAGAGGUGGGUUAAACUGUAAGGGACGGCUGAGAUUGAGUGUCAGUGUUGCUAAGCGUGGCAUUCACAAUACUGGCACUAUAAAGAGCAAAAGAAAAUAAUAAUUUAUUGGACAGUUUUUCUACUGCCAUUCAAUUUGAUGUGAGUGCCUUGAAAACUGAUCUUCCUAUUUGAGUCUCUUGAGACAAAUGCAAAACUUUUUUUUUUUUUUUGACACGAAAAGACUUUUUUAAAAAGUAAAACAAGAAAAGUACAUUCUUUAGCAACAAACAAAGCCACAUUUACUUUAAAUAAAUUUUAAAAAAUUCUGGUUGAAGAUAGAGGACAUGAAAAUGCCAUAAGACCCAAUCAAAUGAAGAAAUAAACCCAGCACAACCGUGGACAUCCAUUAGCUGAAUUAUCCUCAGCCCCUUUUGUCUGGGACAACGCUGCUUAGAUAUGGAGUGGAGGCGAUUUACUGCUGAAUUAAACUCAAGUGACACAAGUUACAAGUUGAUAUUGUUGAAUGAAAAACAAAACAAUUCAGGAACAACGGCUAAUUUUUUCUAAAAUUAAAUUUAGUGCACUCUGUCUUAAAAAUACGUUUACAGUAUUGGAUACAUACAAGGGUUAAAAAAAAUUGUGUGUAUGUGUGUUGGAGCGAUCAUUUUUUUUUCAAAGUUUGCUUAAUAGGUUAUAAAAAAAAUGCCACAGUGGCUGCGUGUAUAUUGUUUUCUUUUGGUGAUGGGGUUUUAGUAUAUAUUAUAUAUAUUAAAAUUUCUUGAUUACUGUAAAAGUGGACCAGUAUUUGUAAUAAUCGAGAAUGCCUGGGCAUUUUACAAAACAAGAAAAAAAAACCUUUUCUUUUUGAAAAUGUUGCAGUAAAAUUUAAAUGGUGGGUCUAUAAAUUUGUUCUUGUCACAGUAACUGUAAAGUCGGAGUUUUAGUAAAUUUUUUUCUGCCUUGGGUGUUGAAUUUUUAUUUCAAAAAAAAAUGUAUAGAAACUUGUAUUUGGGGAUUCAAAGGGGAUUGCUACACCAUGUAGAAAAAGUAUGUAGAAAAAAAGUGCUUAAUAUUGUUAUUGCUUUGCAGAAAAAAAAAAUCACAUUUCUGACCUGUACUUAUUUUUCUCUUCCCACCUCCCUCUGGAAUGGAUAUAUUGGUUGGUUCAUAUGAUGUAGGCACUUGCUGUAUUUUUACUGGAGCUUGUAAUUUUUUAACUGUAAGCUUGUCCUUUUAAAGGGAUUUAAUGUACCUUUUUGUUAGUGAAUUUGGAAAUAAAAAGAAAAAAAAAACAAAAACAAACAGGCUGCCAUAAUAUAUUUUUUUAAUUUGGCAGGAUAAAAUAUUGCAAAAAAAAAAUUUGUAUGUUAAGUCCUAUUGUACAGGAGAAAAAAAGGUUGUUUGACAACCUUUGAGGAAAAGAAACAAAAGGAAGUAGUUAAAUGCUUUGGUUCACAAAUCAUUUUAGUUGUAUAUAUUUUUGUCGGAAUUGGCCUCUACAAAGGACCGUCGGAGGAGGGCUUCGCUUGGAAUGCCCCGAACCUUGCAUCAAGGCUCCCUGGUAUGGCCCCAGCAGACCAGAUGGGAAAUUCUUUUAUUCGUGUUGAGUGGAAGAAUCUGUUUUUGUAAAGAUGUCAGUAACGUUUCACAGAGUCCUCCCUGUCUCUAAGAGGCCAUCUGUAAGAUGUCAGGUGUAGAGGAGAGAGAGCCAGAGAGCAUCUUCCUCCUCUGCUGUCGCCACUGUGGCGGUCAACACUGCCACCGCUCCCACCCUUAAGAGCAGAGAGAAAUGCAAACCGAGCUUUCUUUAGUCCUUGAGAAAACAUUAAACAAAAAAUGUAAUAAAAGGAGCUGGCGUAUCAGCUAGGCACAGGUGACGCGAUCUGCUCCUGAGACCGGCACAAAUCGCAUUUCAGGAAGGAGUUCCCAUCACAACCACAACCUUUCAUUCCAUGGAGAGUGUUGGCCUCUUGUCUUUCUUACCUGCUUUGCUGCUUUUCUCUCCGAAACCUACAUUCCGUCAGUUUCCGAAUGCCUAGGCCCUGGGAUGGAUUCGGUGCCUUUUCAUCUCUCUCUCUCCUUCCUCUGCGUCUCCUUUCUGUCCUCCAGCUUCUGUCGGUUCUUUAUUUGUUUUCAUUUUUACUUCUUUCUCCCUCUUUCUCCCUCCGCUCUUCUUUUUUUUUUUUUUUUUUGUAAAGCCAAGUAGCUUUAAGAUAAUAAAGUGGUGGUUUUUUGGAUGAGGGAAUAAUACAUUUUUUUAAAAAAUACCUAUAUCAGGAAGCCAUUUUUUAUUUCAGGAACUAUAAGAUACCAUUAUUUAAGGUUAUGAAAGUAUAACCGAGCAUCCUUUUGGGCAAUUCUUUACCAAAUGCAGAAAUCUUUCUUCUGGGAGCUUUUUUGUUUAACACGCUCUUUCCUCCUUGCCACUUGUCUUUGCAAAGUGAAAAGAAAGAGGGAGGGAGUGAGAGAUUAAGCUGAGAUAGUUUUCCACCCGCUCGACCUGGGCUGCCCUGUUAAGGCACUCGAGAGCUGUCGAGGUGGUCCUCCUGUGGUUACGACAGUGAGCCAGCUCUCACCAGCUUCCACAAAGUCACCAGAACGCCAGGACUAAGCCAUCCUAAAGCACAAAGAUUGUGUCUCUGUCGACUGCAGAGAAAAGAGAAUUUUGCUUCUCUUUCAUGUUUAAAAAGCCAACACUGAAGCAGAUGACCCAGUGAGAGAGGCCCCCGCACAUGGGUGACCCAGCCGACCUCAGGCCGGGUUCCACACUGCCACAACUUUGUUCAAAGUUGCCCCAAAUUGGAACCUGCCACUUGCCAUUAGAGGGUCUUUCACGGGGAGAGGAGGAGGCUGAAUUACUCUAAGCAAAAUGUGAAAAGGAAGUCAGCCUUUCAUCCCAGCCCUCAGUGACAGUCAGUCGAAGGUUUCGUUGAACACAGGCAAACCCGAGACUUUGGUGCUCUUUGUAUCUUAGCCCUGCAAAGCAAAGUUACAUGGAUUCCAGUUGUUUGCAUUUGUACUGGCAAGGAGAAAUAUUUUUAUUACCUUUUCUAUUACUUAUUGUAUGAGCUUUUGUUGUUUACUUGGAAGUUCUGUCUUUUACUACAAGUUUGGAACUAUUUAUUAUUGCUUGGUAUUUGUGCUCUGUUUAAAAAACAGGCACUUUUUUUUUUAUUAUGGAUAAAAUGUUGAGAUGACAGGAGGUCAUUUCAAUAUGGCUUAGUAAAAUAUUUAUUGUUCCUUUUAUUCUCUGUACAAGAUUUUUGGGCCUCUUUUUUCCCUUAAUGUCACAAUGUUGAGUUCAGCAUGUGUCUGCCAUUUCAUUUGUACGCUUGUUCAAAACCAAGUUUGUUCUGGUUUCAAGUUAUAAAAAUAAAUUGGACAUUUAACUUGAUCUCCAAA